GAGCCCAGCAGUUUUUUCCCUCUGCUGGAAGACAGAGAGGUAUAGUAUAUGCUAUACAGACAGAGCUAUAUGUGCUUCUAAACCACCCUCAGGUAUGGUGGAAGAAGCCUCGGGCAGCAAAAUGUCUUGGGCCAGCCCUGAAUGCAGUAAGCCAUCUGAAUGGCAUGCUUUCACUCCUUUAAGGAACUGGUAAAUCAGAUCCAGGGAACUGGGGAAAUAUAUGCUUUCUUUGUAUGUUAUGUUUUGUUUUCUAAGCCCCUCCCCCCCUUUCUAACCCCUUGCCUCAGAGAGAGAUAUUUUCACCUCCCAUGGCUGGCACGCGAAAGCCGGCCUUGCCAGUCACAACCAAGAGGCUUUUUGCGCGGCCAGCUGGGAUUGUUCUGACAGUUUUGCCUUCUCGUCACAUCAUCCUGUCAUCACCCUCCUCCUCUUCCUUAGAUCAGCCUCCCAUUUUUCGGCAUUAGGGGUCAGGGUCAAGACGUAAUGAGGAACAUCACAAUGGAAGGACACUUUUUACCUCAGCGGCAGAGAGGGAUCUGGAAGUUAUGCUGUGAUCCAACGGCCAGCACUGGAGGCAGCAAAACACAGUAGUGGGGGGGGGCGACGACUCCAGAUGCUGAUACAAGAUCUGUCCACUCAGUUUAAAAACUAUGGGAAUGUUAAUGGUCAUACAUAAAUAUGACACACACUCUUUCUCUUUUUCUACAGUAUGAUCAUCCUUUCUAGACAAAUGCAAUUCUAUCAGUCAAAACUGCAGGAUGCUAAUUAGGGCAUUUGAAACAAUGCUACGUAUGAUUUGUGCAAUUCUGUCCACUGGCAAGAACUUUCUGCUGAUGGAUUAGAAUUUGCAUUUUUGCUCAUUCUUAAGAGCUAUAAAGGGAGGGCACAACUUGAUGCGACACUUGUGCUCAGUGGCUCUUACUUCCUAUUCAUGUUUUUUUAAAACUGAAAAGCAGCCUUGGAGGCCCAAAUCAAGAUUGGAGAAAAAGCAAGCAAGCACUGAUUGCUUCUUUCCUGUAAAAAUGGUACAGGGCUGCCAUGCCAAGCACAAGCUGCUUCCAUACCAGCAGAAGAAAAUAUAUGGGGGCCCUGUAUCUUUUUCCCUUGUGGGGAGAAAAACAACCCAGAGAGCACAAUUUUGAGCUGGAAAACAAUGGAACAAGAACACGGUUGCCAACUUGAAUAAAAUACUGUUGGGGAAGUAAACCCCACUCUGCAUAAUUGAUCACAAGACACACACAUGCACCAUUUGAAUGGCAAUGUCCAUGAACUUGGGGUGGGGCCCUCAAAUAUUUUACUGGGAGGGUUGAAUGGACCUUGGCUGCUAGGAGUUGGCUCCUAUGAACAGGAAAGUGCUCAACAGCCACUAGCUCUUUCUUCCUCAUACUUGGCAGUGUGCCAAGAGCUCCUAUUGUUUAAAAAUGCACAAAUUCACCCUCAUAGAACUCCAUUUAAUUUGGCCCCAGCACUGAAGAAUCAGAAGUUCAUGGGGUUAGCUGGGGCAUCUCCAGUCCUAUAUGGGAAACUCAAAUGACAAUCUAGCUACGCUAAUCAUGGAAAGAAGGAACAUAAGAAGAACCCGUUAGAUCAGAUCAAUGGCCCAUCCAAUCUAUCAUCCUGGUCUCUGGGGCCAACCAGUUGCCUGUGGGAAACCUGCAAGCAGGAUUUGAGAACAAGAGCAAUCACCCCUGUGGUGGCAGUAAUGCUUCUGCUGGAAACCUAUAUAUUUUUAAUCCAUAUAACUCUGGGGGCAAAGAGGGGGGUUAUUUUUAAAUAUGUUUCUUAAGAGAAACAGUUCAGUUCACAUCAUUGUCAAUACAGUCCAGAUCGCAAAAGGAUGGACUUAGACCUAGGAAACUUGAAUUCCAGUCACAGUUCUGGCAUGGCUUCAAAAGCUGGCCUUGGUAAGAUCAGUACUUCCCACUAUAGGUAUAAACCAGCAGUGGUCAACACAGUGUCCUCCAGAUGAUGUUGAACUCCAACUUCCAUCAACUCCAGCCAGCAUGGCCAAUUUUGUCUGGGAUGGUGGGAGGUGAAGUCAAAAAAUGUCUGGCUUACAGACCAGAUGAACAAAGAAAUGUAAAGCAUUUUCUAUUAUUGGAGAGCAUACUACAGCACUUUGGGAAAAAAUUACAAGAAGCUUCUUAUACAUCCUUAAUAUGGAGUGAAAUUAAACUAGACUUGAACCAAAACUACGUAUUCUUUUGCUAAUGUUUUCCCUGGCCCUGACAAACUCUUCCUAUUCUUAGCUCCUUUCCCCCCAGCUGCUCUUAGUCAUCCACACUGCCCAUAUUUCACUAUAUGCUCAACUGCCCUCUCUGGCCCUCAGUGAUGUCAUCAUGCAGCUAAAUCUGACUGGCUGCAUAACAUUAUGAUGUCAACCUCUUCACCAUGGAACCCCUGACUGUAUGAGAUUACCUACGUGACUUGCUCCAGGGAUGGAAGAAGCAACAGCUUCAGCAAGAGAAAACAAUGGUGCCAAACAAGCUUUUUAAAAAGUUUUCAUUCUCUUCAUCCAAGUCCUUCAGCAGAACAGCCAGUUCUCUCUGGGGUGGCAAAGUACAGAGAAAAUAUGGAAUAGCAAAAUAAAUAUAAUAGUGGGGAGGGAGCACAUUUCCUUCCUUUCACUCCUA